rnacentral:lncRNA from 1 species
CAUAAAUCCACAUUUAUUAUAAGUUCAAGAACAGGUCAUGAAGGGGGUGGGGGGCACAUUCAGAACAAUGAGUCAAAGAUGGAGCCCUAGGAGAGGGGUCGGAGGGAGGAGACAGGGACACCAGAGCCUCUCCUCUGUGUCUGUUCUCGAUGAGCUCAAUCCUGAUUCCUGAACCUUGGUCCAGGGGACACAGUGAAGCACACAAUCAGAUGAAGUUCCAGGGGAUACAGGUUUAGGAAAACAUCAAGAGGUGGCCAAAGUUAUGCAUCCAACAGAAGGUGAGGGCUAGAUCCUCCUUGGAUCAGCAGCACUGCUUCCUUUUGUGGAAUUGAAGCAUAGAAGUUUAAUCCAUCCCACGCAUUUCAGCUAUUGUGAAACUUUCUUGUAGUUAAGAUCUUUGUGCUAAUGAAUUCUUUCAUUGCCUCUAACUACUGGCACUUCCCUUCUAGUUUCUUUGAAUAUGCAUCCAACUGGUAGGCUGCCUCUUGCUCUUCAAUUAAAGUGAACUGAUCCAGAUGAGGCUAAAGCACUGUGUAUUUCUGGUUUGUCCUUUCUGUUUCUACUUAUGUUUACUGCAGUAUCUUUCAUUUCUAGAUACUUAGAACUUACAGUUUGUUUAUAUUUUCCAGAAGUUUACGGUCUUCACUGGUGACUGUCAGCUCGUUUGUCAGGAAAACCUGGCUCUCUGACAACUCAAGAGUGAUAUAUUCAGCUGUCCAAAGUUUCUUUCUACACAGAUCUGCAGUGUGUCAGAGGAUAAAGUAAGUAGGAUCUGAAGGUAAGUACUAAGAGAGAUUUUUAUAGCUUUCUAGGGGUUGGCAAAUAGAUCUUAGGGACUUUCAGCACUGCUAUUUAUCUGUCUGAAACAAUGGAAACCCCUACCAGGAUUGAGAGGAGAAAACGGAUCGACAGAUCGAACAUAGAGUCUGGCAAUGUUUGUUGUUAUAAGCUUUUAAACUUCAAAGAGACCAGAACAUCUUAGACUAAGGAUGAAGCAUCUAAAUGGAAAGCAGAAAAACAAAUCAAGCCAAAAAAGGAAGAAAACUUCCCAGAAACCAGGAUUCUCAAAUUCUGGGAAAAGCUAUCAGAUCAUACAUAAGAAUUUACGUUCAAGAUGCAUUGGGGAAAAUGAAGCCUCAAUUAUUACACAUAAAAUGAGAAGCUACCAAGUGGAAAAUGAAGUCCCAUUGAUGAGAAGCCACCAAAUAGAAAAGCUACAACGUGUUAAUACCGAAACACUUAAUUUUUAUCCAGAAUUGAAGAGUACAAAGCACUACACUGGCUUGAACACAUCCAAAAAUAAGGCUGUCAUUUGUUCUGUCUACAAUGGAAUACCUGAAAUAUAUGUUGAUGACCCAGUUGGGAACCAAGAUCGAGGUUCACUAUCGGUAGACUUCUUCACCUAUAGAACUUCAAAUGAAGACAAUUUGUCCUCCUCAGUGGUGGGCCUGAAACUUCGGCAUUCUGACACGGAUUUCCAGGUGCUUGCCAAUGACAAGAAUAUUGAGCUUCACAAAAGUGAAAGUCAAAACUCAGCCCAGGAAAACAAAUACUUCAUUCUGCACCAAAACUCUGAGUUAGUUUCAUUCGAGUGUCUCAAGUCUCAAGGAUUAUAUAUUGGUGUAGAGGAAGACCAGCUAAAACUUAUGGAGAAGAAAGAAGAUGACGAAGCUUUUAUGUUUCAGCUCCUCACUGAGUAAUUGGACCUCAACUCCUUUGGUAGCUUCUCAGCCUACACUAGGUUAAUGGGAUAGAAAUCUAUGAUUUUUUUGAGUAGGUGACCUAAAGAGAGACCCUAAGGAGUCUGAGAAUGCCCACCAUUCACCAGCAAUGGAGAAGGCUUAGGAUCUUGGAGGACUGAUUUCCACACUGGUGGGUGGAACCCUUUUGCAGAUCCAAUUACUUCUGUGUUUUUUUGUUUCUUUUCUUUCUGAUCUUUAUAUGUUCAAUAGAUAUAAUCCUGACUCUAUAGGACUACAGUGAAGUUAAAACUGACAGAAGCAAUGUCCUUUCUAAAUCGGUGAGGGCUACAGGCAAGACCCUGAUCUUUGAUUUUUUUCUACAUGUCAUCAAGACGAACUUGCACACAUAAAGAAAUGGUGAUUAGGGGAUUCUGGAAUCAAGGACAAAUUCGAGGCAUUUCCCUAUGAAAUGCGGCCCAUUUGAAAGAAUGUUAAGUUCAUAUAUUCAUGUUAGAAAUAUAUUUUUCUUAAUUCCAUAACACUACAUUAUAGUAACCAGUAAAGAAAAACAAUGGAGAGUAGGCAUUAACUUGAUCUUCCAUUUUCUCAGACUGCUAUAAUAGUCAUAUAAAGUUAGUUGUCUAAUUUGAAUAAGAGAGGCAAUGGAUAAAGAGUUGGCCUGGGUGCCUCUGACUCCAAAGGCUGGCGGACCCCAGGCCAGUCACUUAACCUUUUUGUGCUCUGGUCACAAUAGGUUGCAAAAAAGGUAGAGAGAGUUUCCUUAUCUAAGAGUUUCCAAUGCUAAUAAAAUCACAUCCUAACAUUUAACCA